GACGAACGCUGGCGGCGUGCUUAACACAUGCAAGUCGAACGGAAAGGCCCUGCUUUUGUGGGGUGCUCGAGUGGCGAACGGGUGAGUAUCACGUGAGUAACCUCCCCUUUACUUUGGGAUAACUUCAGGAAACUGGGGCUAUUACCGGACAUGAGCUCCUGCUGCAUGGUGUUGGUGGGAAAGAUUCGGCGGUUGGGGAUGGACGCGCGGCUUAUCAGCUUGUUGGUGGGGUAGUGGCGUACCACGGCUUUGACGGGUAGCCGGCCUGAGAGGGUGACAGGCCACAUUGGGCCUGAGGAACGGCCCGGAGUGAUACGGGAGGCAGCAGUGGGGAAUUUUGCACGAUGGGCGGAAGCCGUAUGCAGCAACGCCGCGUGCGGGAUGACGGCCUUCGGGUUGUAAACCGCUUUCGCCUGUAACGAAGCGUGAGUGACGGUAAUGGGUAAAGAAGCACCGGCUAACUACGUG
rnacentral:rRNA from 1 species